AGAUUAAGGCCCUGAGAGAGUUCCAGAAGUUCAUCAACACACCCUACAAGCUCUUCCUCAGAAAAGAGAAUGUAGACCAGGCGUCAGAUGAGCAGGUGUAUGAGGAUGAAAUCCUGGCAGAAGUUGUGGAAUUGGAGGCUGAGAAUGAGGAGGACUACCAACGAAAGCUGGCCGAGUACAGGAAACAGCUGGCAGAGUGGAAGCUCUCAAGAAGAAAACAGAAAGCCAAAAAGAAAAAGAGAAAAAAGAAGAAGAAAGGCCAGUUACAGGAUGAAUCCAAAG